UAGGGAAUCUUCGGCAAUGGACGAAAGUCUGACCGAGCAACGCCGCGUGAGUGAAGAAGGUUUUCGGAUCGUAAAACUCUGUUGUUAGAGCAGAACAAGGACGUUAGUAACUGAACGUCCCCUGACGGUAUCUAACCAGAAAGCCACGGCUAACUACGUGCCAGCAGCCGCGGUAAUACGUAGGUGGCAAGCGUUGUCCGGAUUUAUUGGGCGUAAAGCGAGCGCAGGCGGUUUCUUAAGUCUGAUGUGAAAGCCCCCGGCUCAACCGGGGAGGGUCAUUGGAAACUGGGAGCCUUGAGUGCAGAAGAGGAGAGUGGAAUUCCAUGGGUAGCGGUGAAAUACGUAGAUAUAUGGAGGAACACCAGUGGAGAAGGCGGCUCUCUGGUCUGUAACUGACGCUGAGGCUCGAAAGCGUGGGGAGCAAACAGG
rnacentral:rRNA from 1 species